AACGAACGCUGGCGGCAUGCCUAACACAUGCAAGUCGAACGAGACCUUCGGGUCUAGUGGCGCACGGGUGCGUAACGCGUGGGAACCUGCCCUUAGGUUCGGAAUAACUCCCCGAAAGGGGUGCUAAUACCGGAUAAUGUCUUCGGACCAAAGAUUUAUCGCCUUUGGAUGGGCCCGCGUUGGAUUAGCUAGUUGGUAGGGUAAAAGCCUACCAAGGCGACGAUCCAUAGCUGGUCUGAGAGGAUGAUCAGCCACACUGGGACUGAGACACAGCCCAGACUCCUACGGGAGGCAGCAGUGGGGAAUAUUGGACAAUAGGCGAAAGCCUGAUCCAGCAAUGCCGCGUGAGUGAUGAAGGCCUUAGGGUUGUAAAGCUCUUUUACCCGGGAUGAUAAUGACAGUACCGGGAGAAUAAGCUCCGGCUAACUCCGUG
rnacentral:rRNA from 1 species